UCGAACGAGAAAGCGGGGCAACUCGCGAGUACAGUGGCGUACGGGUGAGUAACACGUGGGUGAUCUACCCUUUAGUGGGGAAUAACGCUGGGAAACCGGCGCUAAUACCGCAUAAUCCCGAGAGGGGAAAGGCGAAAGUCGCUGAAGGAGGAGCCCGCGGCCGAUUAGCUAGUUGGGAGGGUAAAAGCCUACCAAGGCAAAGAUCGGUAGCCGGCCUGAGAGGGCACACGGCCACACUGGCACUGAAACACGGGCCAGACUCCUACGGGAGGCAGCAGUGGGGAAUCUUGCACAAUGGGGGCAACCCUGAUGCAGCGACGCCGCGUGAACGAUGAAGCCCUUCGGGGUGUAGAGUUCUUUCGGCAGGGACGAUAAUGACGGUACCUGCAGAAGCAGCUGCGGCUAACUACGUGCCAGCAGCCGCGGUAAUACGUAGGCAGCGAGCGUUGUUCGGAGUUACUGGGCGUAAAGGGUGUGUAGGCGGUUUUCUAAGUUUGGUGUGAAAUCUCCCGGCUCAACCGGGAGGGUGCGCCGAAAACUGGGAGACUCGAGUGCGGGAUGGGAGAGUAGAAUUCCUGGUGUAGCGGUGAAAUGCGUAGAUAUCAGGAGGAAUACCGGUGGUGUAGACGGCUCUCUGGACCGCAACUGACGCUGAGACACGAAAGCGUGGGUAGCAAACAGGAUUAGAUACCCUGGUAGUCCACGCCCUAAACGAUGCAUAUUUGGUGUAGGUCAUUCAGUUGAUCUGUGCCGGAGCUAACGCGUUAAAUAUGCCGCCUGGGGAGUACAGUCGCAA
rnacentral:rRNA from 1 species